GUGAGUAGGUCUUGUAUGUUGUUAUAUCUUGUUUUUAAUCACAAAAAGACAAUAUAUUUCUCAAUCUACACUAAAUUUCUGAAAAUGGUAUCAUGUGUGUUAUUGAAUAUCAAUAGGUUUUUUUUUAAGUGUUUUUUUUUCUCUUUCAGUACGAAGAGGAUUUGAUAUGUACAUAACGGUUAUCCACUUAAUCAGUCUUGAUUUCCUUUCAGAAUGAAGAAAAAUCAACGAACAAUUGUUUAUCAAUCGAUAUAAAAAGUAAAGAUUUGGUGUUCUUAAA
rnacentral:lncRNA from 1 species